rnacentral:lncRNA from 1 species
CCGCCAUCCAUGUAAGAUGUGAUUUGCACCUCUUUGCCUUCUACCAUGAUUGUGAGGCUUCCCCAGCCACGUGGAACUGUAAGUCCAUUAAACCUCUUUCUUUUUUAAUUGUCCAGUCUUGGGUAUGUCACUAUCAGCAGCAUGAAAAUGGACUAAUACAGAUGGAUUGUAAAUUUCCUGAGGCCUCCCAAGCCAUGCCUCCUGUACAGCCUGUGGAACUGCUCCUAGGCAGAAGGAACUUGCCUUGUCUCAGAUAAAACUUUGGACUUGGACUUUUCAGUUAAUGCUGGAAUGAGUUAAGACUUUGGGGGACUGUUGGGAAGAGAUUAUUGUGUUUUGAAAUGUGAGAAGGACAUGAGAUUUGGGAGGGGCCAGGGGCAGAAUGAUAUGGUUGGCACUGUGUUCCCCACCCAAAUUUCAUGUUGAAUUGUGAUCCUGAGUGUUGGAGGUGGGGUCUGGUGGGAGGUGAUUGGAACAUGGGGGCAGAUUUCCCCCUUACUGUUCUGUGAUAGUGAGUGAGUUCUCACAAGAUCUCUUUAUUUAAAAGUAUGUAGCACUUCCCCCUUUGCUCUGUCUCUCCUGCCACUAUAUGAAGAGGUGCUUGCUCCCCCUUUGCCCUUCUGCCAUGAUUUAGGUUUCCUGAGGCCUCCCCAGCCAUGCCUCAUACAGCCUGUGGAACUGUGAGUCAAUUAAGUCUCUUUUCUUUAUUAAUUACCCAGUCUUAGGUAUGUCUUUGUAGCAGGGUGAGAAUGGACUAAUACACCCACCAAAAGUUCUAUGUCCCAGAUAAAAUUUUCCUAACAUUGUUAAUAAUCACACAGCAUUCUUUAUCCAAAAUGAAAAUAGCUUUUCUCUUAUCAAAAUUCUAUAUUUUAUUUAUUUUUUUAUUUAUCUUUUGAGACAGAGUCUCAC